UUACUUUCUUCAGUUGCUAUUCUAGUGCAAAAUAUUAGGCCGUGUUUGUAUGCAUCAUUGAAUUUAAUUGCAAAUAUUAGGCCGUGUUUGUAUGCAAAAUAUUAUGUCCUUCUCUCCUUCCAUUUAAUCCAACUGAUAAGUGAACGGCUCCAACUUAUAUUGACAGUGAAGCAAAAAUGCAUCGUGUUAGCAAAGGUGCACCAGAGCAGGUAAUGUUGCCAUUACUUUUGUGGUUUUCUUGUUACUAACAACUCUAAUUGUCAGUGGCUAGUCAGUUGCUUAUCCUCCUUGGGCAAUGGUUUUGCAUAUUCUGAAACUUGCACGCAAUAAGUUAGCCAUAGUGCAGAGAGUUAACACUGCGAUUAGCAAGUUUGCAGAUAGAAGACUUUGAUCACUUACUAUAGCAUUCCAGGAGGCUCCAGAGGGAAGCAAAUAUAGUUCGAGAGGUCCAUGUAAAUUCAUCGGUCUCAUGCCUCUCUUUGAUCUUCCUUGGCAUGACAGUACAGAAACAAUCAGGCACACUCGGCAUAAAUCUUGAAAUAAUCACAGUGUAUGCAGAUUUCAGUGACAGACAAUCAAUACGUCUGUGUCUCUGUGUGCAUCCAAUUAAAUAUGGGCAAUGCCAUUCUGUCAAGUGAUGCCUGCCAAACUCAUUGAAAUAGAAAUCCAAAAAGCAACUCAUAAUUUUACAUCAGUGAUUGGGCAAGGGGCAUUUGGUCCUGUUUACAAGGCUCAGAUGUCGACUGGCAAGACAGUUGCGGUUAAAGUGCCACUAAUUCCAAGCAAGGAGAGAAGGACUUCUAGUUUGGAUUAUUUAAGUUCGAGCUUGCAACUGACAGGGCUUCUAGUUUAUAUUUUAUUGCUAGCAUUCCAUUUGGAUUGCUGGACAGCCAAAUUAUUCAAAAAUUUCCUUUUACUUGUCUAAUUCUUAGAAUAAUUUUGGUCUAUUUUCUACUCUCUUCUUAGAACUCUGUUUGCACUUCAGCUGUAUAGAUGUGUAUGCAUUUUAUUUGGAAACUCUUGCCAGCAAGUUGAUUCUGGAAGUCUUUCAGUCCUGAAAAUUGCAAAAAUGCAAAAAAUACAAAAUUCUUAGAAGCUACUUGUUCAACUAUCUUACUUCCCAAUCUCAUAAAGCAUUAGUUAAUGAUUUCUAUUCAUGUACAGGUUUGAGGAGCAAGAGGCUCCUGUUUUCAAGCAUGCCCUUGAACUUAUAUCUUAAAUG